GCCAGGUGUGGUGGCCCAUGCCUGUAAUCCCAGCAUCUCAGGAGGCUGAGGCAGGAGGAUCCCAAGUUCAAAGCCAGUCUCAGCAACAGUGAGGCACUAACCCUGCCUCUA
rnacentral:sRNA from 1 species